UACGGGGGGAGCAAACGUUGUUCGGAAUCACUGGGCGUAAAGGGCGUGUAGGCGGCUGGAUAAGUGGGAUGUUAAAUCCCCCGGCUCAACCGGGGACCUGCAUCUCAUACUGUUCAGCUCGAGCACAUCAGAGGAGACUGGAAUUCCCGGUGUGGCGGUGAAAUGCGUAGAUAUCGGGAGGAACACCAGUGGCGAAGGCGAGUCUCUGGGAUGAUGCUGACGCUGAGGCGCGAAAGCCAGGGGAGCAAACGGG
rnacentral:rRNA from 1 species